GACGAACGCUGGCGGCGUGCUUAACACAUGCAAGUCGAACGGAAAGGCCCUGCUUUUGUGGUGUGCUCGAGUGGCGAACGGGUGAGUAACACGUGAGUAACCUGCCCUUGACUUUGGGAUAACUUCAGGAAACUGGGGCUAAUACCGGAUAGGAGCUCCGGCUGCAUGGUGGGGGUUGGAAAGUUUCGGCGGUUGGGGAUGGACUCGCGGCUUAUCAGCUUGUUGGUGGGGUAGUGGCUUACCAAGGCUUUGACGGGUAGCCGGCCUGAGAGGGUGACCGGCCACAUUGGGACUGCGGUACGCCCCAGACUCCUACGGGAGGCAGCAGUGGGGAGUAUUGCACAAUGGGCGGAAGCCUGAUGCAGCAGCGCCGCGUGCGGGAUGACGGCCUUCGCGUUGUAAACCGCUUUCGCCUGUGACGAAGCGUGAGUGACGGUAAUGGGUAAAGAAGCACCGGCUAACUACGUG
rnacentral:rRNA from 1 species